CCUACGGGAGGCUGCAGUGGGGAAUAUUGGGCAAUGGGCGCAAGCCUGACCCAGCAACGCCGCGUGAAGGAAGAAGGCUUUCGGGUUGUAAACUUCUUUUAAGCGGGAAGAGCAGAAGACGGUACCUCUUGUAUAAGCCACGGCAAACUACGUGCCAGCAGCCGCGGUAAUACGGAGGCGGCAAGCGUUGUCCGGAUUUACUGGGUGUAAAGGGUUUGCAGCCGGGAAGUCAAGGCAGAUGGGAAAUCCCGGGGCUUAACCCCGGAACUGCAUUUGAAACUGUUUAUCUUGAGUAUCGGAGAGGUGAGCGGAAUGCGUGGUGUAGCGGGGAAAUGCGUAGAUAUAAGGAAGAACACCAGUGGCGAAGGCGGAAGACUGGACGACAACUGACGGUGAGGCGCGAAAGCGUGGGGAGCAAACAGGAUUAGAUACCCGGGUAGUC
rnacentral:rRNA from 1 species